AUGCAGUCGAGGGGUACAGGGAUUAGUUUACUAAUUUGCUGACGACCGGCGCACGGGUGAGUAACGCGUAUACAAUUUACCUUUUACAGGAGGAUAGCCCAGAGAAAUUUGGAUUAAUACUCCAUGGUAUUAUCGGAUCGCAUGGUUUGAUAAUUAAAGUUUCGGUGGUAGAAGAUGAGUAUGCGUCCUAUUAGCUGGUUGGUAAGGUAACGGCUUACCAAGGCGACGAUAGGUAGGGGUCCUGAGAGGGAGAUCCCCCACACUGGUACUGAGACACGGACCAGACUCCUACGGGAGGCAGCAGUGAGGAAUAUUGGUCAAUGGAGGCAACUCUGAA
rnacentral:rRNA from 1 species